UUUAAAGAAAAUUUCAUCUGAGCCAAAAAGUUCCCAUUGAAAGGAUUAAUGGUUGACUGGUUAAAGUCAGCUUUUCCAAAUUGAAAGCUGGCACAGUAAGAGUUUGUGAUUCAACCUGUCUCUUGAUUAAAGGGCUAUAAAAUUAUAACUCUGGUUGGUGGCUUUAACUAUGAGAAUUAUGUCCCCAAAUAGCUAUGCUGUGGCAUUUUUCUGUAAAAACCAAGUAUUGUCUCUCUUUUUAAAGAUACUAUUAUACAAUUCCUAUAUUAUCUUUAAAUGGCCCAGAGAAUAAAAUUCAGAGAUCAAACAUUAUAAUGUUGAUCUUCCAAUAAGACUCCUAGGCAACAAUCUCACAUCAACUUAUUUUACAAUAUUUGAUGAACAUCUGUUGUAUGGCAGAUCCAAAGCAUGUUUGCUAAGAGCUGAGGAUGCCCCAAGGAGUAAGCUGUAGCUCCUGUCCUCAAGCAUCUGAAGUCAAGGAGGAGAGACAGAUCUGUAAACAAAAGUAAAACAAUGAUGUGAGGCGUAUAACAUGGUCACACACACUCUGUGGUGUGGGAUCCCAGAGGAGGAUGUGCUAAAUUCUGACCUGUGUGGUAUAAGAGGAAGGAUGGGGAACUUUCAAAGGGAGACCUGAUGGUGGUAAGGUGGAAGGCAAGGUAGUAGAAGGCAAUUCCAGAAAAAGGAAAAAGCAUCAGCAAAGGCCCAAGAUAGUGAAAAUGCAUAACUUGAUGACUUUUUUAAGUGAGUGGUAAGGAAAUCAGGAGCAUGAAGUAGUCAGUCAAAGAUGGUACCAAAGUGUCUGUUUUGGUGACUGUGUGAAAUUCAUGAUAGAGAAAAUAUUGGCAUCCAAAUUUCAGAAAAAGACUACAUAGCAUCAUUCAGACUGUUUAACCAAGGAACCAGUGAUAUCUAUUGCCUGAUUACCCAAACUCAGAACUUAAAUUUAUAAAAUGAGAGCCAACACCACACUUUGAUGUAUUGAAACAGACAUAAUUUAGUUGCUUUUGAUUCUAGAUGAUGUUUCAUCUAUAAUUCUUGAUUGUUGCAGACAACUAAGUCUUCAUUUAUUUCUUGCAAAUGAUGUCUCAUAGAAUUGUUCCUGGGAAUGCAAACAUUCUCCUAUCUCCCCAACCAGAGCUGAACUGACUUGGAAGAAUGACUAAAAGCAAGCCCACUAAGUUUUAAUUUAUGCAAAUGCUACAUUCUCAAACAUAUUUAUGGACUAUAUUAAUUUGGCAAUGCUGUUAUCUUACACUGUUGGGCUAUUUACAAUUUUUAGCUGAAUAGCUCAAAACCUUGAGAUUUCCAUUAUCUGUUUAAAUAGUUCUAACUAAGUCUUAAGAAGAAAACUGUUUACACGGAUAUUGACUCUCAAGCUAGGAAUCUGUCUUUGUCCACGCGCUCUUCCUUAUCACCUUCCCUUUCCUCCUGAGUCACGACUUCCCACACCAAAUUCUGGCAGUUCUAUCUUCCCAGAGUCCAUCCACUUCUCUCCACCUCCACUUCUGUUUAGUUAGCUCAAAUUACCUACAUUCAUCGCCUGCUAACCAUAGCAGUAUUCUAAGUGAUCUCUCUGCCUCCAGUCUUGUGUCUUCAAUCCAUUUCCUACACUGUCAUCAAAGUUAGGUCUUUCACUUGGAAGUCUAAUUACGUAAUUCUCUGGCUGUUUCCCAUUGGUGGCUGCCCAUUGCCGCCAGAACGUAGUUUAAACUCAUCAUGGAAUACACUACCCUUCACUGUCUUGUUCAGUUUUUCUCUCCAGACUCAUCUGUUACAGCUCUCUGUAGCCACUUCCUCUUACUCUGUGUUUUUGCACAGCUGGAGCACUGAUAGCGCCCCAUGCUUCCACCAGCAUGCCCUCUCAGCCUAUAGUAUCUUCCCUAGACCUUCGCUUGCUCAGCUCCUACUUAUCCUUUGGGAAUCAGUUUCAUACUUAAAUACUCAAAGAAACCUUCCCUUAUCCCCAAGAAUGAGGAAAUUGACUCCCCAGUAUGGUCAGUUCUCUAGUAACCUAUGGCACUCAGCUCUCUGGAUAGGCUGCUCUCACUGCUCCUUUGGAGAACUGAGACUCUCUUAUUCACAAAAUUGUAUACCCAGUGUCAACCACAGUGAUUGAUACAUAGCCUCCAAAAAUACGUGUAUCAAUCAUGAAAUAAUUGAUUGUUAAUUUUAAAUAGGGGAUUUGGGCAUACUCAUCCUUUACACACAAGACACAACCCCAGAAUUCUUCCUUAUGGCUUUUGUCUCUUAUUCAAACCAGGUUUUCCAGUGUACCCUGACUUGGGGGGUAAAGUUAAAGAAACAUUUUUGGACAUCUUGGAAACCAAUGAAAUACCAGGCAUGGCAGUUUUCAAAAUUGUUUUAACUCCCAAAUAUAUAAACCUUUGGCAAAGUCAUCACAACAUUUGAAUUACCUUGAAUUCCCCUCGUAGCUCUCUCACGCUGUCUAAGCAAGUAGCCCUUAUCUCUUCUCAGUAUCACUGGUAUCCUUAUAAAACGGGAAAUUCGGACACAGAGACAGACAUACACGGAGGGGAGACAAUGUGAAGAGACAUGCACACACACAGGACAAGAUGGACAUCUACAAGCAAGGAGAGAGGCCUGGAGCACAUCUUUCCCUCAAGCCCUCAGAAGGAGUCAACCCUGCUGGCACCUUGAUUUCAGACUUCUAGCCUCCAGAACUGUUUUUGCUCUUCACGGAAGUUAUCAGCAUUCAACUUAUGUUUGUUUCCUCUUCACGUGGUUAUGAACUUCAUGAGAACAAGGUAUUUUUUCUUUCCUGUCUAGUAUUAGAACAAGGCUGAGCAUAUGGUAGGCACUCAAUACAUACGUGUUAAACGAAUAAAUACAUUUGUAAUGCACCAUUAAUCUGUGAAGGUAUUGGUCCAUUAAUAUUAAGUCAGACUCAUACCAAAGCAUAUCAACCUACUGCUGUCUUCUUUUACUGUUGUUAGAGAGAUGAUGAGACUGAUUGUAAAGGCAAUAAAUAAACCAGCGAUUAAAAUUCUCUUAGAAAGCAAGCAAUGCUAAAAGUAACAAUAACAACAAAUCAAAUAAGAAGGAUUUUAAAAUAGCUUUUUGUGGAGAGAGGGGGAGCUAUAGAUUUUUCAAGCCUUGUCAUCCUUUUGGCUAUCCCUUUGCCAUCUCUCCAAUAAAUAUUUUUUUGUGUAGUCAUUAUUCAGUGUCUACAUUGUUAUCUCUGUGAAAAUGUUAUUGGUGAUUGAAUAUUAUGUUUUCCUAUAACUAUAUAACAUUGCUUACUUUUAUUUCCUGCUUAGUUUUGUUUGUAUCAGUUACUAAUUCUUCCCAUACCUACCAGUAGCCUCUUAGUACAACUUUCAAUAACGUCAAUUACAUCA
rnacentral:lncRNA from 1 species